AUACGUUCCCGGGCCUUGUACACACCGCCCGUCAAGCCAUGGAAGCUGGGGGUGCCUGAAGUCGGUGACCGCAAGGAGCUGCCUAGGGUAAAACUGGUAACUAGGGCUAAGUCGUAACAAGGUAGCCGUACCGGAAGGUGCGGCUGGAACACCUCCUUUCUAGAGC
rnacentral:rRNA from 1 species